CCGGGGGGCCUGCUUACACAUGCAGUCGAACGAUGAAGCCCUUCGGGGUGGAUUAGUGGCGAACGGGUGAGUAACACGUGGGCAAUCUGCCCUGCACUCUGGGACAAGCCCUGGAAACGGGGUCUAAUACCGGAUAUGACUGUCCACCGCAUGGUGGAUGGUGUAAAGCUCCGGCGGUGCAGGAUGAGCCCGCGGCCUAUCAGCUUGUUGGUGAGGUAGUGGCUCACCAAGGCGACGACGGGUAGCCGGCCUGAGAGGGCGACCGGCCACACUGGGACUGAGACACGGCCCAGACUCCUACGGGAGGCAGCAGUGGGGAAUAUUGCACAAUGGGCGAAAGCCUGAUGCAGCGACGCCGCGUGAGGGAUGACGGCCUUCGGGUUGUAAACCUCUUUCAGCAGGGAAGAAGCGAAAGUGACGGUACCUGCAGAAGAAGCGCCGGCUAACUACGUGCCAGCAGCCGCGGUAAUACGUAGGGCGCAAGCGUUGUCCGGAAUUAUUGGGCGUAAAGAGCUCGUAGGCGGCUUGUCACGUCGGUUGUGAAAGCCCGGGGCUUAACCCCGGGUCUGCAGUCGAUACGGGCAGGCUAGAGUUCGGUAGGGGAGAUCGGAAUUCCUGGUGUAGCGGUGAAAUGCGCAGAUAUCAGGAGGAACACCGGUGGCGAAGGCGGAUCUCUGGGCCGAUACUGACGCUGAGGAGCG
rnacentral:rRNA from 1 species